AUGAACAUUAAUGCAUGCCACAAUUUUCAGGUUUUCAUUUGUAAAAAAUGAUAAAAAUCUUAAUUUUCCUUUCUCUGUUCCAUAAAAUCCCAACAAAACACACUGCAGUUUGGCACUGUACCGUACUGUUUACAUGCUAAAUGGUUUAGAUGCCAAACGUGUUUCCAUGUCUUUAAACCAGCAGAGGAAGAAGCAGCAUCAGCACUGAAGAAUGCAGCAGAACCAGUUUGAUCUUCCAGUCAAUUAUUUUUGUGCUCAGUGCAAGGAAAUAAAGUCAAAGUGUCUCGUGGUCGAUGUUUCCAUCAGACACAGAGAAGGUGGUUCACUGAAUACUUCUUAAUUAAGUAAGUGUAGGAACAGACUCAGGCUGGGGUUAAAGCGGACUUCAGAAGGAACUUCGGUGGAAAAUUAGCUGAUUUAACAGACAGGAGAUUCGAGAUGGACGGCUCCUCCCUGAGAAAAGUCUUUUUCUGGAAAAAGAAAAAGACGUCUUCUUUGAACAACGCCUUCAACCAACUCAAGAGGGCGCUGCCAAAGAAUAGGCAAAUCAAAAAGAAAAGCAUUCUGAAAAAACUGCACCUGGACAACUUGAAGAACAAGGACAAGAAUUCCCAGAAAAACAUCUCCCUGAUACGAGACAAGAAGGCACCCAAAUCGCUGAAGAUACUCUCACUUGGCAAAGAGAUGAAGCAGUCUGAUCCAAACACUUCAGAAGGAAGGAAUGACAACAAAGAGGGGCUUGGUCGAGUGGGCAACAAGAUAAAAAAAAGAUUUUCUCAGGAAAACAAAAAGGAACUCAGUGCAGAGCCAGAGAUUGCUCCUCUGAAAAAAACAAAUGAGGGUAAAACAUCCUUACAGAAACUGAAGGAUAUCAUGAAACCCAGUCGUUCAUCAGAAACCAAAGCAACCUGAAGACUUGAAUUAGAGACAAUAAAAUGGGACUCAAAGGGACACCUUAUUUCAAGUUUUUAAUGACAUUGUAAUUUUCAUCACUAAUGAAGGAGAGGCAAAGAUGGUGGUUAAAGCUAUAAUGUUUGUGAAUCAUUACCAUGUAAAUGUCACUUUCACUUGAUAUUAAAUGCAAUUCGCCUUGGUUUUAUUACUAGUCCUGGUUGCUCCACAGCAUGGCAUUAAAAAUAAAACAUUGCUUUGAUUUUGCAUAAAGCCAAGCUGCUUCUGGCAUGUCUGCUUCUUAGCUCGAAACAUAUCGCAGAUUAUCUUAAAUCGUCCUUUUAAAAUGUUUAAAAUCCAAAUAUUUACAAAGACGUAUUGUGCAUCGUAUGCAACGAACACUUGCAGCUGGCUGUAAUUAUUACAAAAGAAAAGCGUGUGGAAUCUUCAAGAAGCCACUUUGAUUGCUUUAAAUGAAAACUAGGAAGUUUUGUUAAAGGGUGAGUAAAUUUUAAAAAACCACAACAGUGCACAGCAAAAGUGUUCACACCCCAUGAACCUUGCACAUAACCACAAACUUCAUUGGAUUGUAUUGUAGUUUUUAUAAGAUACACCAACAUUUAGUCACACAUAACUGAAGUGGAAGGAAAAUGAUGAAUGGUUUUCAACGUGUAAAUGUGUCUCCACUCUGAAAACUCCAAAUAAACUCCAAGGCAACCGAUUGCCUUCAAAAGUCA